UACGUAGGGGGCCAGCGUUGUCCGGAUUCAUUGGGCGUAAAGCGCGUGUAGGCGGCCAGGUAGGUCCGAUGUGAAAUCUGGAGGCUCAACCUCCAGCGGUCAUUGGAAACCAUCUGGCUAGAGUCCGGAAGAGGAGAGUGGAAUUCCUGGUGUAGCGGUGAAAUGCGCAGAUAUCAGGAAGAACACCUAUGGCGAAGGCAGCACUCUGGGACGGUACUGACGCUGAGACGCGAAAGCGUGGGGAGCGAACAGG
rnacentral:rRNA from 1 species